UAAUGUGUGUACCUUAGGAUGAGCUUUGUAAAACUCUACAAGUUUUGAGUAGAACACCUUCCUUAGCUGCAUGUAUUUAGUUCCGCAACUUGUAUCUUCAAGUUCAAUUGCAUCGGUGUUUAAGUUAAUGUGAAGAGUAGGUUUCAUACAACUUGUUUCUGAAUCACACUUCAAAACUCUCUUUACUUCAAUGGCUUCUGGAUAAAUAUGCUUCAUCUGAGCCAAAUGAUCAUACGAGAAGAUCCUGUAGAUACACACACAUAAGUCCAAUACAACCAUAAAGUAUACAUAUCUAUAUUCCUAAGAGCAUAACCCAUCUCUAUUUCUUCUUCUAAAAUAGAGAUUAUUUUUUUCUCUACAUCGUACUCUAUAUUUGGAGAGAGAGAGUAGAUAGGGAAGUGAGGAGUCACAGAGAGAGAUGGAGAGAGAGAGAGAGGGAGCGUAACGGCUAGUAUAUAUUAGGGUUUAGGCCAUUACGGUGAAGGAAGAAGAAGAAGAAGGCAGGUGAUGUGAAUAUGUGGGACCCGUACUUGUCACGUCACUUGAGCCCGUACUAAACGUUGGUUCCCGCUAUUUGCCGUUACCAUGUAUAAUAACCACUUCGUUUUAGUUUUCUUUUUCCUUUAUUGUUGCCAACUAAGAUUAAUCAUUUUAUUGUUUUUUUGUCCAACAAAAAUUAAUUCCUAGAAUAGAAAUAAAAUACAGAUAAUAAAACUGUAUUUGAUGUCAAUAAAAAUUUAGACGCUUUUUUUUUUUGUUUUUUUUUUGGAAAGACUAUUUUUUUUUGUUGUUGCUAAUAAUAUGAUACUAGAUCUCGAUCCGCGCAACCGCGCAGAUUUAUGUUUUCAUUUAUUUUUAUAUAAAUAUUUUGUUUUCAAUUCUAAAUUGAUAUAUAUUAUAAUAUAUAUAUGUCAAUCAAUUUUUAAAACAUAAUAAGUUUACUGUAUAUAUUUUUCAUUGAAUAGAUUGUUUCAAACUUUCACAUGUAUUUGUAUCUUCUUAUAUAUAUAUAUGUUUUUGGAUUAUUAUUUCAAUAUUAAAAUUGUAACUAUAUAUAUAAAGAUUAGUAAAAUAUUAUUUUAAUGUCAUAUUCAAAGAUAUUGUAACAUUUCACAAAUUUAUAAUUUUUUUUUUUAAAUUAAACUUUUCGCUUCAUAGAUUUAUAUUAUCGAGUAAAUAAUUAAAGAUUUAGUUUUUUUUUUUUAAUUUUUAAAAUAAAAUAUAUAGCUUAAUUUUGUUUUCAUUGGUUUAAGGUAGUAAAGUUUAUUCAUUGUUAGAUAAUAUGAUUUUUGUUAUUUAAUUUUUUUUUAUAAUUUUUAAAGUUAACAUCGAUAAAUAUUUUAAUAUUUUAAUAUUUAACAUAUAGAGAUAUCGUAUUGCAACAUUAAAUUAUAUCUAUUUAAUUUAUACUAUCUAUAAAGCUAAUAGAUCAUCUAUUGUUUAAAUCUAAUUAUUGAUACCUAAUAAAAAUUUCUUGUAGACCCAAAAUUUAAAUGAUAAGAUUAGAUAUUAAAUGUAACAUGACUUUCUAGGAAUAUGUCCAUUAUAUUCAUUUUAAAAAAAAUCACACAUGAAUCAAGGUUGUGACUUAUGUUUUAAUAUAUAAGAUAUUAUACGUGAUUUGCAAGAUUAGAAUGUAAUUUGUGGUAGUUAAUUGAUAUCCUAAUUGUUUUGUUGAUUGCGUAAAUAUAAGAAAAUAUUUUGAAAGAUAUUUUUGUUAAGGAAAAUAAUAAUUAAUUAGUUUUGAUUUUGAAUUCGCAAAUAUAUAUCAAUAAUAUCGUGUUGCUUAAGUUAGUUUUGAUUUUGAAUCAUGAUAUAUACUAUGAUAACAAUAUCGAUAUUUUAAGGCUUAAGAAAUAAAAAAUAUAUAUAUAUAUAUAUAUAUAUAUAUAUAUAUAUGAAUAAUGAAUUUUGUAUCCAUCUAAUAGACUGGUUUUGAUUAUGCAGACCAAUAUUACCCGACGAAUAUCACAAUGGAAUUCUAUGGUUUAGUAAUGUUAUGGAAAGGUAUGUAUGAAUCUAAACUAUUGAAUCCUAUGAUUUUGUAGACCAAGAGGAAGAAGGUCGGUGAAAAGUUUCAUUACAUAUUGUACUAUGGUUAUGCAAUGAUAUGUUGGAAAAUAGCUAUUGUAUUCAGAUGGUUUAGUAUUGUUAAGAUUUUCUUAUGGUUUGGCAAUUAUAUGGUUUAGUUGAUAAAAUAAACGGCUCUGUUUAAAGUUUAGUGGCAGGCGUCUAAUAUAAAUGGUUUUAGUAUUAACUAGAGCCGUGUCCGCGCUUCGCGCGGAUUACAUGUUUAAUUAAAGAACAGUUUAAUUAAAAUUAGAAGUUUUGAAGUUUCUGAAAGUGUAAGUUAAGUUUUGUUUUUUUAUAAUGCGAAUACGUUGGAAACGGUGAUCAUUUUUUUUAAUAAACUAAAAUAAGUUUGAAUAAUAAAUUAUGUUGAUGAAUUUAAUAUUCGUAAGAGAAAAUAGUAGUGUGUCUAUUUAAUUGACGUAGAAAGCUGUAACGUAAAUUUUAAAAAAGUUGAUUGGUGUGGUUUGCUAUGUGGCUUAGGAUAGCAAUUUAUUCCUCUUCAUGGAAGCGUUGUAUGAUAUCAAUAUCGUUGUCAAAGUAGAAGUGCGAUCCAGAUGUGGUUGUGAGUUAUAGUUUCCCUGAAAAAAGUGAAAUAUUUGUAAGCAUUUUAGUUUGACAUAAACUUUAUGUUUAGUUUAUUACCUUCAUGUAACCGUAGAAUGAUACUUGUGAUGAUUACGAUUUGGUUUUUCCUGGUAGAUAUGCGAUUUAACUCCCUGAAAUUAGACGUCUCUUUGUCCCAUAAAGUUAAACGUAUCAGUUUGGAUCUAUAAAUAAUUAUUAUAUUAUAUUUCAAAUUUUUUAUAUUUUCUAUAUAUCUAGGGUAUUAGGGUCAUUUUGGGCAUUUUGCUACAUGUCAUCUCUACAAUUAAAAAAAUAAACAUGAGACGGAUAAUUUUAUUUAAUGUUGGUAAUAUCUUAUGCAUCAUCUAUAAAAUAAAUAUAUAUUCAUAUAUAACAUUCCAGAUUUAGUAAUAUUAUUAUUUUUAUAUAAUUAUACAAUUUGUAUUACUAAAGCUUUUAAAAAUAUGCAAUUUUUAAACAUCUAAAUAUCUAAUCGUAUGAUAUUUAGUUUCUUAUAUAUCUACAAAAUUUUAAAAAUAUUGUUUAGGCCAAAUGUUUGAUCAUUAUACAAUUUUAUAUUAUUUUUAUUAGUUUUAUACAAUUUGAUAUAAUAUAUAUCAAAUCUAUAUUAAAUUUUAUUAAGAUAAUAGUAAAAUCAAUAACAUUUAAUAAAAUUUAUUUUUAAAUAUAAGUUAGAACAACACUAAGAACCUCAAUUGAAAUAGCAUAAUAAUGGGAUGCGUGAGAAGCUUUGUGAUUCAACACGCCUCCGGUCACUGUGGCGAAAGACUAAAUAAAAACAUGUAAUUUCAUAAAAUAGAAUGAGCUUCUUAGUUUCUUGGUAUCAUAUACCGUAAAUGGAUAUUGGGCUGACUUCAGUAUUGACUGGGAUUCAAAUAAAUUGUUUGGGCUUCGUAAUUGACAUGGAUUUCAGUCGAGUCUGAGAUGAGCUGGUAGAUUGAUUGGCCAGGAAUUUUCUGCCUAUGUGGUACACCUUAGAAGCCUCCAAAAUAGUUAUUUUUAUAUAGUAGGAUUUAUCGGUUUAGUCAUUAAAAGAAACGGCAGUGUUUAAUAUAGUGGCAUUCGAUUGUAAAUUUUUAGGAAAAUUUAGGGUUAUUUCUUUUUUUGUACUCCAGUUUUAAUAGUUUAGAUGGUUUGUAAUCUGUAUACCCAAUUUAUUUUUACAUUUGAGGUAUACCCAAUUUUUACACCUUUGAUUUUUGUGGCAACAUAGUUUUUCCUUUUAGUGUUUGUACACAAUGAUUCUUCUCACCUUUUGAUAUGGAAACUAAAUUAAUAAAUAAAAAAAUCCUGUAACAAAUAGCAAGUUCAUUAGUGAUCAUUGACUUUUCAUAGUCAUCCAUUUUCAGUGAAUUUGAGUAAAUAUUAAUUUUAGGGUCAACAAUGGAUCGUUUAUACAGUCGGAUAAAAGAUCACUUGAAAACAUUUUUUCACAUUUUUGCUUUAAAAGUUGCAUAUGGUAUGUCCUUAUAUCUCUCACAUGCAAAUAAGACAAUAAAUCGAAUCAAUUUCAAAAACAAAAAAUCUAUACGCAUAGCCAUUGUAAUAAUAUCUGAGACAAUUAUGUAGCCGCUGGGUGUGGUUAUCGUUCGUUGUGUUCUUAUAAGACUCUGAAUGGUGACUGCGGUUUGAGCGGUGCUGGACAAGCGGUUCAACUGCGGUGCGGUUUUAACCGUUAUAAAAAUGUAUAGAUAUAUAGUAUAUGUAGAGAUUUUUGUUACUGUUAACUGCGGUGCGGGGCGGAAUGAUGGUUACCAUUCGAAGCCUUAUACAAUCGGGAACUUGUUUUAAUCGAUGUGUUUCGGGUUUUGUUUUUUUUUUCUCCAAAGAACUAGAAAUGUAUUUUCAAUGAUUAUUCCAUUCUUGAUCUUGGUCUAUUACAUCCUCACUCAAACAGGCUGAAGCUUUGAACACUUCUUUGGAUUAAUCGUUGCUGUUCUCUUGUCUACUAAGGAAGAACGGUAAGAACAACACAUCACCUGCAAAUUUAAAUAGAAACUUACUAAUAAUGUGGAAACCGAAAUUCGCAAUGUCAAUUUCUGUUUAAAUUAGGAAAGUUAGGAAAACCCUAAUUUCCCAGAAGUUUCGGAUAUGUGAUAAACCACACGCCAAGCAAUCAGAACACGCAAGUAAAGACGAAAAGAAAUAAGAAAUCGUAAAAGAGAGCAAAAAGAGUUUUAUUCCGAAUUAGCGUAUGAGCGUUACAACAAGGUAGAAGCCUCGGCUACGAGAGCUGUCGGCGAGAUUUCUAUUUCUAACAACCUAAGACUGCAAAACCUAGUUGAGUCGCAGUUCGAGAUAACAAAAACGGAAAGUUGCCUAAUUGCUCUAAGUGCUAAGUUUGCUCUAAAAAAAGUUCUCUUUCAUGCGUCUCGCCUAGGACUCCUUAUAUACUCUCUCCUAGGUCGGUUUACGCUUUUCCUCUUCUGCUCUUAAGCCGUCAUAGUCAAAAAUGAAAAUAUUCCAUUUUUUUCCGAUCCUCAGGUAUCAAAACUUUUGAAUAAAUAAUUCAAAAAAUGUUACUUCAAAUUUAUUUUAGUUUCACUUUUAUUUUUACUAGAGUUUUUAACCGCGCUACGCGCGGAUAAGAUAUUAUAUGUAUUUCUCAAUUCUAAAAAAAUAAUGUAUAAUAUUGUAUUACAUUAUUUAAAGAAUAUAAAAUAAGAAUACAUAACAUAAACAUAUUUUUUUAAUUUUCUUUGUGAAAAUUAUUAUGUUGUUUGAUUGUUGUACUUGAUUCGUAUAUUUGAAUAGAUAUCUGUGAUAGGUGAACAACUAUACUUUUAUUAUCAGUAAAUAAUAUAUAUUUAUUAUAUAAUAUAAGAAAAAUGAAAUUAUUUACUUUUUAAACAAACUUGUCUCGUGUUGGGGAUUCGGUUAUAGACAUAUCAUAUUCGAAUGAGACAUUUUGCAGUUAUCAAUCUUCUUAACAAUCAAGAAACAAAUCUGAAUAUUAAAACAAUAUCUCAUACGAUCUCUUUGUAGAAUAACUGCUCUGAAGAAAUUGAAUUUAUGCAUCAAAAAGGACUUGAAAUAGAUGUGCAGAUGUGUUAUCUAAGUCAGUUUUACAAAGUACUAUUCAUAGUUCAUAUAUCAUUUAUGUCCAUCCUAUUUUUUUUGUCCAUACUUUCUUAAACAUCUUGAAAUAGCUGAUGCUAAUUAAUAAUAAACUUUUGGUUGGCAAAAAAAAAAAUCAAAUUUAUCUAAUUAUCGCUUAAUUUGUCUAACUGAUUUAUGUAUUUCUCAAUUCUAAAAAAAUAAUGUAUAAUAUUGUAUUAAAUUAUUUAAAAUAAGACUACAUAACAUAAAUAUAUUUUUAAAAUUUUCUUUUUGGAAAUCAUUAUGUUGUUUGAUUGUUGUACUUGAUUCACAUAUUUGCAUAGAUAUUUGUGAUAGAUGAAUAACUAUAUUUUUGUUAUCAGUAAAUAAUAUAUAUUUAUUAUAUAAUAUAAGAAAAAUAAAAUUAUUUACUUUUUAAACAACAUUGUCUCAUGUUGGGGACUCGGUUAUAGACAUAUCAUAUUCGAAGAAGAUAUUUUUAUAGUUAUCAAUCUUCUUUAAAGUCAAGAAACAAAUCUGAAUAUCAAAACAAUAUCUCAUACGAUCACUUUGUGGAAUAAUUACUCUAAAAAAAAUUGAAUUUAGGCAUAAAAAAAGACUGGAAAUGUAUGUGCAGAUGUGUUAUCUAAGUGAGCUUUACAAAGUACUUUUCAUAGUUCAUAUAUCAUUUAUGUCCAUCCUAUUUUUUUGUCCAUCCUUUCUUAAACAUCUUGAAAUAAUUGAUGCUAAUUAAUAAUAAACUUUUGGCUGGCAAAAUAAAUCAAAUUUGUCUAAUUAUCGCUUAAAAUCUUUAUUAAUAUUGUCUAAGAAGCUUUCAAGUGAUAUCAUAGUUUAAUUUUUGUUAGUUUUUUCGUUAAUUAUUAGUUUUUUUUGUAUUUAAGAUUUUUUCCAUAUUAAGCUUCUAUUUUUUUCACUGAAUUGAUAUAUAUAUGUCAUAAAAAUUACCAUCAAAUCAGUUUCACUUAUUUAUUAUUUUUUUAAUGAAAAUACACUUUUUAAACAAUUUAAUUUAAAAUAAAAUUAUAUAUUAAUUUGUUGUAUUCUAACAAUUUGAUUGAUUUAAUUAAUUUGCUUUGGUGGAUAAUUUAAAAAGUUUUCAUAUGAAUCGGGGAAAGCAAUCUUAUGUUGUUAUAUUAUAUUUAUUUGUGUAUAUAGAAUCUAUAUAUAAUGCUAGUGUAAUAAAGAAAUAACAUUAUUUUUUGUAAUUUCAAAAAGAUACAUUAUUACAAUUUGAAAUUAAUCAAAAUUGAAUAAAAUGGUAAUUAAAUAUUUUUAAAUCUAAUUGUUUUUUUUUAUCUUGUUUAGUUGGAUUCUCAUGAAAAGAAAUCGAUAGGUUAAACAAAUGUUUCAAAAUUUGUUGUGUUAUCAAUCUUCUUAACAAUCAAGAAACAAAUCUGAAUAUUAAAACAAUAUCUCAUACGAUCACUUUGUAGAAUAACUGCUCUGAAGAAAUUGAAUUUGGGCAUCAAAAAGGACUUGAAAUAGAUGUGCAGAUGUGUUAUCUAAGUCAGUUUUACAAAGUACUAUUCAUAGUUCAUAUAUCAUUUAUGUCCAUCCUAUUUUUUUGUCCAUACUUUCUUAAACAUCUUGAAAUAGCUGAUGCUAAUUAAUAAUAAACUUUUGGUUGGCAAAAAAAAAAAAUCAAAUUUGUCUAAUUAUCGCUUAAUUUGUCUAACUGAUUUAUAUUUCUCAAUUCUAAAAAAAUAAUGUAUAAUAUUGUAUUAAAUUAUUUAAAAUAAGUCUACAUAACAUAAAUAUAUUUUUAAAAUUUUCUUUGUGGAAAUCAUUAUGUUGUUUGAUUGUUGUACUUGAUUCACAUAUUUGCAUAGAUAUUUGUGAUAGAUGAAUAACUAUAUUUUUAUUAUCAGUAAAUAAUAUAUAUUUAUUGUAUAAUAUAAGAAAAAUAAAAUUAUUUACUUUUUAAACAACCUUGUCUCAUGUUGGGGACUCGGUUAUAGACAUAUCAUAUUCGAAGAAGAUAUUUUUAUAGUUAUCAAUCUUCUUUAAAGUCAAGAAACAAAUCUGAAUAUCAAAACAAUAUCUCAUACGAUCACUUUGUGAAAUAAUUACUCUAAAAAAAAAUUGAAUUUAGGCAUAAAAAAAGACUGGAAAUGUAUGUGCAGAUGUGUUAUCUAAGUGAGCUUUACAAAGUACUUUUCAUAGUUCAUAUAUCAUUUAUGUCCAUCCUAUUUUUUUGUCCAUCCUUUCUUAAACAUCUUGAAAUAAUUGAUGCUAAUUAAUAAUAAAAUUUUGGCUGGCAAAAUAAAUCAAAUUUAUCUAAUUAUCGCUUAAAAUCUUUAUUAAUAUUGUCUAAGAAGCUUUCAAGUGAUAUCAUAGUUUAAUUUUUGUUAGUUUUUUCGUUAAUUAUUAGUUUUUUUGUAUUUAAGAUUUUUUCCAUAUUAAGCUUCUAUUUUUUUCACUGAAUUGAUAUAUAUAUGUCAUAAAAAUUACCAUCAAAUCAGUUUCACUUAUUUAUUAUUUUGUUUUUAAUGAAAAUACACUUUUUAAAUAAUUUAAUUUAAAAUAAAAUUAUAUAUUAAUUUGUUGUAUUCUAACAAUUUGAUUGAUUUAAUUAAUUUGCUUUGGUGGAUAACUUAAAAAGUUUUCAUAUGAAUCGGGGAAAGCAAUCUUAUGUUGUUAUAUUAUAUUUAUUUGUGUAUAUAGAAUCUAUAUAUAAUGCUAGUGUAAUAAAGAAAUAAAAUUAUUUUUUGUAAUUUCAAAAAGAUACAUUAUUACAAUUUGAAAUUAAUCAAAAUUGAAUAAAAUGGUAAUUAAAUAUUUGUAAAUCUAAUUGUUUUUUUUUAUCUUGUUUAGUUGGAUUCUCAUGAAAAGAAAUCGAUAGGUUAAACAAAUGUUUCAAAAUUUGUUGUGUUAUUGUUUUGUCUAUAAAUUACAAAAUUUAUUGAAUUGAUAUAUUUAAUUAUUGCACCCUUAAAAUAAUAUUUUAUUAAGACAUUAGAGAACUAUGUUUUGAGUUGUUUUGUCAAAAUUGUACAAAAAUCUAUGCUUUGUCAUAUUUGUCACGAAAAUUUAUAUGUUAAACUUACUUUUACAAAAUUCUUAACUUUGUCACGAAAACAAAAUCUAUGCUUUUUCAUAUUUUUCAAUGUUCUCACACUUUCAAAGAAUAUAUUAGUUUAGUCACUUACUUUUUUUUUUUUACAAAAUAAAGUAUCGGAGUAUUGAAAGUUGAAUUCAUAUUAUUGUAAUUGUACAUAAGAGUUUGUGAUUACAUACUUAGUGAUUCUUGUAUAUGUGUUCAAGAAAGUUUCAAUGGCUUAGUGGUAACUGCCCUAUAUUUAUGUCGUACUAACCCGGAUUCGAUCCUUUCUUUCGCAUUGUUUUUCAUCUUUUACAAAAAAAUAAAUGAGAUGACGCGGCAACUUCGGGCUCUCUGAUUAGUUGAUUUUUCUAUCCUAUGUGGACACCCUCUCCAUGGCUUAUAUUUGCCUUUUAGUAUAGUAUAGAUUAUAUUUCAAAUAAGUACAUUUAUAUUGUAAGAAAGACUUACUUAAAUACAAAAAAAUAAAUUUGAACGAAACAAAUGUAAUAAUUUCAACUCUUUUUACAUGUUGUUAUUUAUAUUUUAAUUUUCUAUAAAAAUUGCUUCUAAACAUAUACCUCAUUUUCUAUUAAUGUUUUUAACUGUUUUCUUUGAAUGUGAUACUUAUAAUAUGGAUCUUCAUUAUAUCCAUCUCAAAAAAAAAAAAAAAACUAAUUAGUACUGAAAGAAAAAUAGAGCAUUCAAAUUUUAUGAAAUAAAUAAUUUCUAGCAAAAAUAAUAAUAACUUAAAUGCAAUAAAUUAAAUUGCGCACAGAGUGGUGAAUGGUGAUACUAGUUAGUUACUAACUAGUAUUCCUCCCGUGCUAUUCGCACGGGCUAAUUUCAAUAUCUUUUAAAUUAUCUAAUCACAAAAGUUUAGAUAUUCUAGUAAUUUAUAUAAAAUUUAAAUUUAGUUAAUAUUUUCUUAGUCUAUAUAAUGUUAUACAUAAAUUUAGAAGUGGCUAGAAGCACCAAAACAAUUUCUAUGAUUUUGUUUUGAGAAAAAUGAAUACAUCAUACAUGUUUGGAAGCUUGUUUUUAUUAAAAUCAAUCUUUUCAUGUUUGCCACAUUCAAAACCAUAAUCAAUCUCAUUUCUGCUUAGUAUUCUUUUCAGACAAAAAAAUAGAGAAAAAAAAUAUAUUUUUUAAAAUGGAGAGAUGAAACAGUUACCUAGAGAAAUAGUUACUAAAGCCAUUUGUCUACGUGAGUGUGAGAAAAAUAAGGACUUUUGCAGUUAACUAAUAGUUGAAGUCAAUAAUUACGUAGUAGAAUUUUGAUUUACUUGAAUUUUGAAAAACAAUUACACAUGUCAAAAUCUUAUUGCUUGAGUGAGUUGUUCUUUAGUAUAUAAGUGAUGUUUUGUCUAUAAAUUACAAAAUUUAUUGAAUUGAUAUAUUUAAUUAUUGCACCCUUAAAAUAAUAUUUUAUUAAGACAUUAGAGAACUAUGUUUUGAGUUGUUUUGUCAAAAUUGUACAAAAAUCUAUGCUUUGUCAUAUAUGUCACGAAAAUUUAUAUGUUAAACUUACUUUUACAAAAUUCUUAACUUUGUCACGAAAACAAAAUCUAUGCUUUUUCAUAUUUUUCAAUGUUCUCACACUUUCAAAGAAUAUAUUAGCUUAGUCACUUACUUUUUUUUUUUACAAAAUAAAGUAUCGGAGUAUUGAAAGUUGAAUUCAUAUUAUUGUAAUUGUACAUAAGAGUUUGUGAUUACAUACUUAGUGAUUCUUGUAUAUGUGUUCAAGAAAGUUUCAAUGGCUUAGUGGUAACUGCCCUAUAUUUAUGUCGUACUAACCUGGAUUCGAUCCUUUCUUUCGCAUUGUUUUUCAUUUUUUACGAAAAAAUAAAUGAGAUGACGUGGCAACUUCGGGCUCUCUGAUUGGUUGAUUUUUCUAUCCUAUGUGGACACCCUCUCCAUGGCUUAUAUUUGUCUUUUAGUAUAGUAUAGAUUAUAUUUCAAAUAAGUACAUUUAUAUUGUAAGAAAGACUUACUUAAAUACAAAAAAAUAAAUUUGAACGAAACAAAUGUAAUAAUUUCAACUCUUUUUACAUGUUGUUAUUUAUAUUUUAAUUUUCUAUAAAAAUUGCUUCUAAACAUAUACCUCAUUUUCUAUUAAUGUUUUUAACUGUUUUCUUUGAAUGUGAUACUUAUAAUAUGGAUCUUCAUUAUAUCCAUCUCAAAAAAAAAAAAAAACUAAUUAGUACUGAAAGAAAAAUAGAGCAUUCAAAUUUUAUGAAAUAAAUAACUUUCUAGCAAAAAUAAUAAUAACUUAAAUGCAAUAAAUUAAAUUGCGCACAGAGUGGUGAAUGGUGAUACUAGUUAGUUACUAACUAGUAUUCCUCCCGUGCUAUUCGCACGGGCUAAUUUCAGUAUCUUUUAAAUUAUCUAAUCACAAAAGUUUAGAUAUUCUAGUAAUUUAUAUAAAAUUUAAAUUUAGUUAAUAUUUUCUUAGUCUAUAUAAUGUUAUACAUAAAUUUAGAAGUGGCUAGAAGCACCAAAACAAUUUCUAUGAUUUUGUUUUGAGAAAAAUGAAUACAUCAUACAUGUUUGGAAGCUUGUUUUUAUUAAAAUCAAUCUUUUCAUGUUUGCCACAUUCAAAACCAUAAUCAAUCUCAUUUCUGCUUAGUAUUCUUUUCAGACAAAAAAAAUAGAGAAAAAAAAAAUAUUUUUUAAAAUGGAGAGAUGAAACAGUUACCUAGAGAAAUAGUUACUAAAGCCAUUUGUCUACGUGAGUGUGAGAAAAAUAAGGACUUUUGCAGUUAACUAAUAGUUGAAGUCAAUAAUUACGUAGUAGAAUUUUGAUUUACUUGAAUUUUGAAAAACAAUUACACAUGUCAAAAUCUUAUUGCUUGAGUGACUUGUUCUUUAGUAUAUAAGUGUACUACUGUUAGCACGUUUUUGAAGAAAAAAGGAUGAUGGGUAGUUGAUACCUCAACAAGGAAGUGCAGCUGGUUGGUAACUGCAAUUUCAUAAAAACGCCAACUGUUUUUUUUUUCUUAAAAAAAGAAAAAAAAUGCGAAUUGUAAAAUGAUAAAAUGUGAUUGGUGAUCAAAAGCGGUUACUUAAAAAUGGAAAUGAAAUACGCAGUUUAGUACGUUUAUGAAGAAAAAAGAAUGAUAGGUAGUUGAAACUCAACAAGGAAGUGCAGACUGGUUGGCAACUGCAAUUUCAUAAAAAAAAACCAACUGUUUUUUUUCUCCUUAAAAAAAGAAAAAAAUGCAAAUUGUAAAAUAAAAAAAUGUGAUUGGUGAUCAAAACUCAAAAGCAGUUACUUAAAAAGGGAAAUGAAAUACGCAGUUUUCUAGGUGGUCAUUUAGUGCCCUAAUCCUUAAUAUAGUUAUGAUAGACGACGAUUAUAAAUUAAAAAAAAAAUCCCUAUGAUCUAACGGCUGAAAGUUAGUGUGGUUUUGUAUUUAUAUAUUGGUUGUAGAACAUGCGAGAGAUAUAAUCCUAAUAUUUGAUAACCUUAAGUAUCAUCCUUCUUCCUCUCUAAUGGAACCGAAAACGAUCACUACAGAAAUGAACGGUAUGAUCUCUUUUCUUGAUUUUCCUAUAGUUUAACCAUCUAGAUCGGGAUGAUCUGUUUACAGAUCUUACAGUAAUGUAGGUUUUUAUCUCUAGGAAAAAAAAGAAAAAUCUUUGUCGAAACGAUGACCAACCGUAUUGUUUAUUGUCUUCUCCUCGCAGUGGCUAAUAUCGGAGUCUUCUGGAACAUGGAUGACAAUCCUAUCCCUGACGGUCUCGAUCCUACUACUGUUAAGGAGUUCAUCAACGGGGCUUUUGAAGAUAUGGGCUAUCUUGGUAGACUUAUUCAAGUUAGGGCGUAUUGCGAGAAUAGGUCUGAACUUGUUUCUUACUGUGAUGCUGCCGGAAUCCUUUUACAAAACCGAGGUGAGUUACAUUUUUUUUUUCUGGUUUAAUUAGUUCAUAUAUAUCUUAAUCCAAAUCUUUUUUUGAUAUAGUGUCCAAAGUUGGAUAUGCUGAAGUUGACCAUAUGUUGGUGGACAUUCUUACGUGGGGACUGUACAAUCAGGCACCCUCAAACUUGAUGAUAAUCACAAAAAACGUCUCAGAAGAAACGGAGCUAUUUGGUGUACUUGAAGAUUUGAAAUUGUUGAAUUACAAUAUUCUUGUUUCAUCUCUUGGGAAAGACGCAACAGUAGACUUAGUUUGUUUGUCUACACACCUAUUUGGUGGAGGAAAGCCUGUCGACCAAAGCAUAAGCUCACAUGGUGUCUCCAAUAAGCUGGCACAUGGUAAGCUAGUUGAUCUUGUUUGCUUCUGUCUCUUUUUUUUUUUCUUCUUUUUCUUGAUGAUAUUUGUGAUUUGAUUUUGCGAUCUCUGUUGGCAGUGGCGAACACAGGCGUCUUCUGGAACUUGGAUGACUGUGAAAUCCCUGAUGAUAUUGAUAUCUAUCAGAAUGUCAAAUCCGCUCUUGCAAAUCAAGGUUGCCAUGGCCAAGUGACAAUCUGGGCUUAUUGUGAGGAGGACAAGGAGCCCGUCCCUGGUAUCACCCUUGUAUCCGCAGGUGAGUUUCCUUCUAGCUAGGUCCUUUGGUAUAAAAAAAGAAGCAAUCGACUACAUAUGUCUUUUGUUUCAUUUAUGUAUGUACAUGUGUCCCUUGUAUGUGGUUUCAGGGGAUGAAACUGCGAGAUUCAAGAAAAUGCUUAGGGACAUUCUUUUUUGGGCGUUGCAAAAUCCUGUCCCCUGUCCGAUGACAACAGUACCCAGCUUGAUGGUAAUCUCAAACAUGUCAAGGAACAUUAAAUUUGCCUAUGUUCUUCAACUAUUGGCUUCGAGAGGUUACAAUGUACUCCUUACUGUUCCUGAUGAAAAAGAAUAUAUAUGCUCCGUAUGGCUCUAUCCAUUCCUAAUACCAAGCCUAGAAAAUUUUCCCAUUUGUAAAAAAUCGGACAAGAGCUUGCAUGGUAAGAUCUAAUUAUCUCCCUCCUUCUUGUUUACUUUUCUAGACUUCCUAUUGUAACUUGUUUAUGUGUUCUGUGUGUUUGUGAAACUUCGCAGAUAUCCAAACAGGCAUCUUUUGGAACAUUACGGGCUGCACAUUCCCCAAUGAUAUUCAUCUCGAUGAACUGAAUGAGAAUAUCAAAUCAGCUAUUAAAAAUCAGGGUCAUAAUGGUGAAGUGUCAAUCAAAGCUUAUUGGGAGGGGAGUAGUGGCUUAUACCAUUGGCUCCACGGAACCAUCACCUUACAAGAAAGAGGUGAAUUUCUAUCUCAAUCGUAUGAUUUUUUUUUUUUUUUUUGCUUCCUUCUCUUUCUAUUAUAUGUAACAAAUGUGUUUGUUUUUUUUUUCUUCGCUGUAAUAGUGUCGAAAGAUGAAGAUCCAUCUGUGACGCUUGGUAACAUGUUUGUGGACAUCCUUUCAUGGGCAUUGGACCAUCCUGCACCAUCAAAUUUGAUGGUGAUCUCCAAAGCCAUCUCACAAGAAACAGAGCUCUCAAGCCUUCUUCAAGAUUUGGAAUCAAAAGGGUACAAUAUUUUAGUUGCACAUGCUGAAGAAGCCGCAUCACCCGUGCUACCUCCUGCAUGCUUGGAAUGGCAUUUUAAUACCCUAAUAGCUGGAGGGAACCCUAUCACCCGUACCAACUACUCACGAGAUGUCCUCAGUAUAGUUCAGAAUGAUCUCUCUUUUCUGAGGAAGGACUGCCAUGGUAAACUAGUCGUUUUAGUUCUCAUAUGCCAUAGCUAGUGUCAUUUAUUAAUCUAAUAAUCAAUUGAUCUACUUUUUGUGAAACCUUUUAGAUACAAAGGGUAAUACCGGAAUCUUCUGGAGCAUCGAGGACUGCCCAAUACCUAGUGGUCUGGAUCCUCUAACGUUUUUUUUUGAUGUCAAGAAAGUUCUUUGGCGUAGAAACGUGUCAGUCAUGGCUUAUUGUGACCAGAAUAGGAGCCUUGAUGACUUCUCCCUCAAUGAUAACCUACAUAUCACCUUGGUACACACAGGUGAAUAUUCCUUCUCACUUCUUUAAUCGUGUUUCCUUUUUUUUUUUUUUUUUUUUAUAUGUAUGUAACGUAAUCUAAAGAUAUAUGUUUAUUAUACUAUAUGGUUUCAGCCGAUAAAUAUGCGAGGAUUAAGAAGAUGUAUAAGGACAUUUUUUUAUGGGCACUGGAAAAUCCUGAAUCAAACGUGUUGGUGAUCACAAAAAGCAUGCCAUUCCACAUUACAUAUGUUAUUGAUGAUGCUUUGAGUUCCAGAAAUUACAAUCUUGUCUUGGCUGAUCCUCAUGCGGUCGGAUAUGUGAACUCCGUCUGGAUUUCGACUAGCUUGUUUGGUGGAGGCAAUCCCAUCGACCCAAGCGGAAGAAAGAACCUUCCGAGUUCCCAAGAAGUGAUGGCUAAGUGGAAGAUUACAAGUUGAUGCAGGGUUGUUAUGCUUUUAUCAAUCUGACUAGUACUUUGUCUUUAUGCUAAAAGGAUUUGAGUUCGUGUCUGAACACGUUUGUCGUGUCCAUCUGUUUUGGAUUAAAAAUAAUUUGCUUAGUGUUUCUAUCUAGUUUCCUUCAAUGGAGGCUUUAUGCUCUGUCCUUAUGCUUUUAUCAUUACUUUGCUUGUUAUGUUUGAUGACAAUGGGAAUAAAUGUUAAAGAGUAUCUUCUUACUUACCAGAUGUCUUUAUCUUCAGUAUCUUAUGUUUGGCUUCCUUCACAAGUUGUCGAUGUUGAUAUUUAUUUACUCUUUCAAUGUUAAAAUAUUAUUUGUCUAGUGCUAUCUGACAUUUUAAUUGGAUUAGAUUUGCGUUUGUCUUCUCCAAUGCCAAAUUAGAGAAAAUCAAAAGACAAUGGAGAAGACACUAGUAUCAGGUCGUAAACUCCCUCCAACGAUCUGAGAAGUUCUCACAGAUAAAAGUAAUGAGAGAUAGUGCAAAUGCAGUCUUUUUGAAAUCAAACAAACAAACAAACCAAUUCCGAUCCAACCUCAUAAGAAACUCAUAACCAGAUCAAACAUGAAGUAACACCGACACAUUGAUGAUUUUAUUUUGUCACUGACACAACGCGCCAACAGAUAACUAAUAAGCAAAGCUCCGGAUAUGUUUAGUAAGAUCUGUUGGAGUUAGCUUGAAAACUUGAGCAGCAAGUAAAUCUAUCAUUGCAAGUCUUAUGAGAUAACUAUAAUAUAUGCUUUUAGCUACUUUACUUAGACAACUUAACCAGCCACAACAAUCAUUAGAUAAUUAUUAUGUUUGAUAAUAAAUUAACAACAUUGUAAUACGUUUCAUAUAGAUCAGCUCAUGAAAAGGAAAGAUGUGUAAAGAUUAAUAAUGAUAAUUGAAACUAAUCAUUUAUUUAUCAGGAGACGGUGGAACUGUCCUGUGAAGUUGCUUCCUCAAGUCUUGCACGUACCGUUUCUGGAGUGGACAUUUUAUUAAUGCUGCAAAAACCCAAAAGAUUGAACACAAUGUUAAAAGCCCUGAAGAAGCAAAGAAACUCUUUCCAGUAAUACGAAACCAAUAGAUUGAACACAAUGGUGAUAACUCUCACCUAACAAGAACAUCCCCAAAAGAUGCCUUUGUUUCAGAGAUCCAAUCCGGAACCAAUUGCAACAUCAACCUUAGCUGUUCCUCCACUUCCUCUGAGAGAAAGACAAAACAAGAAAGUAACUGUGAGCCCUAGUCAAGGAAGAAGAGACAGUGACACUGUAAAACACAUUUAGAUAUAAACAAACUGUCCUUACUUCUAUCCACUAUUUCGAUUUGGCAUGCAAUCAUCUUGUGAAGAAGCUCUUCCUUGGUGAUGACCGUUCGGUUUGUUGAGUGAAACAUUUUAUGAAUCACAUUAACAAGCUUAGGCAAGUUUUGCUUCACGGUUUCAGCCUUUGGUUCCUCUAUCAUCUGCAAGAAACACACACACACAACACAACGGUCAGCAAGGUUACUGAUUAUAACCAAAGUUUGCAAGUUUGAAAGCAAAGUGAUUGCUCAGAAAACCAUCCGCUUACUGAGUGCAGAAGACUAAUUUCAUCGUAGGAAGCAUCACUAUCUUCAUCGGAGGAAGCAUCACUAGCUUCAUCAUCGUUUGCUUCAUCGUUAGAUUCAUCACUGACUGUUCCAUCUUCUUCCUCCAGAGUAUCGAAAUUCAGACACCUAGUGCGAGAAGGACGCCUUUCCAGAUCAUUUGUUGGUCUAACAGAGUCACUAUCAUCAUCUGGAGUCAUUGUAAUACACCGUCUAGAGGGUUGCAACGUCGGUGUAGCACUCAUGAGCUUGAUUGGUGUUGACAGAUCCUUGGAGGGGGUGGACAAAACUUUGGCUGGGGUUGACUCUGUGUUUGGUAACAAACAUUCCUCAGUACCAUCUGAUAAAGUAGAAUCUGGAAACACUUUGUUAACUUUAUCUUCUUCCUGCUCCAUCUCAUCCAUUUGAACAUCAAACCCAUCAUUUUCAACUUUAAAUGCUCCCACGUCUACUACACUUAUUGUGUCUGAAUCCUUUUUGGAGAAAUUGAACGAUUCAGGAAGCAGUUCUUUUGGAAACUCGUCCUAUAUACAGAAAAAACAAUCAGAUACGUUUAGCAUUUUCUAAAAAGCUACAACAUAGAAAGACUAAUAUGUGUACCUUAGGAUGAGCUUUGUAAAAAUCUACAAGCUUUGAGUAGAACACGUUCCUAAGCUGCAUAUACUUAGUUCCGCAACUUGUAUCUUCAAGUUCAAUUGCAUCGGUGUUUAAGUUAAUGUGAAGAGUAGGUUUCAUACAACUAGUGACUUCAUCACACUUCAAAACUCUCUUCACUUCAGUGGCUUCUGGAUAAAUAUGCUUCAUCUGAGCCAAAUGAUCAUACGAGAAGAUCCUGUAAGAUACACACACACAUUGGUCAAACAAACAUUCAACAAAUACAACCAAGGUACACACAUAUACAAGUAGACAAUCUAAGCAAUAUUGCAUUGUUAAAAAAACUCCGCAAAUUAAACUCAAAUAAUACUACAAAUUAGAAGAAAAAAAAAACUGAUACCGUUACCCGUUUUAGCGUUUUUUUUAUUGAUUAUGUGAAUGAAUUAGUCACUACUAGAAUCAAUAUGCAUCAAAGUGAGACCACUUCAUGUUAACAAUCAAAUUAAUCAGAUGCAUCAAUAGUCAAUCUCCAAUACUCUCAAGAUUCACCAAAAUCAGUUACUUAGAUGUUCUUCAAACCAAACAAAGAAGAAGAAGCUAGAAAGUAUAUAGCUUUAUUGAUCAGUUAAAUAGAUGUUCUUCAGACCAAACAAAGAAGAAGAACAAAUCUUUUACCGAUUAGUAAGAUACUCAAUCUUGGGACAUAUAUUAGCAAACGAAGUCAAAGAGCCCUUUAGCUUCAGCAACCUAAUCGCAGUGACCAACCCAUUAAAGCAUUCAUCCAGAAUCUCAAACCUGCAAAAUUGUCAUUAAUUUCAUCAAAACUGGAAAACGUGUAAAGUCCAAACCUUUAUGAACAAAAAUCAAUAAAAGAUCUCACCUUUCGGGUAAUUUCACGGUCGUUUCAGGUUUUCUAGGCGAAGUCAAGAUCUGUCUCCUAACGGGUUUGUCGCAGUCACGAGGUCUGGUUGAGAGAGUCGCCGUCUUGUCAGGGGUCUUGGUAGAGAAAAGUGUUUCUGGGUUUGAAGAAGCAGAGGCCAUAGAUGGCUUCUUCGAAGCGUUUUCGAUCGAGCUCAUGUUGGAGAGAGAGAGCAGAUAGGGAAGUGAGGAGUCACAGAGAGAAAUGGAGAGAGAGAGGGGCGUAACGGCUAGUAUACGGUGAAGGAGGAAGAAGAAGAAGGCAGGUGAUGUGAAUCCACAUAUUGUGGGACCCCUAUUUGCCACGUCACUUGAGCCCGUACUAAACGUUGGUUCCCGCUAUUUGCCGUUACCAUGUAUAAUAACCACUUCGUUUUAGUUUUCUUUUUCCUUUAUUUUUGUCCAACUAAGAUUAAUCAUUUUAUUGUUUUUUUUUGUCCAACAAAAAUUAAUUCCUAGAAUAGAAAUAAAAUACAGAUUAUUAAACUGUAUUUGAUGCCAAUAAAAAUUUAGACGCUUUUUUUUUGUUUUUUUUUGGAAAGACUAUUUUUUUUGUUGUUGCUAAUAAUAUGAUAUGGUUUAUAAUCUGUAUACCCAAUUUAUUUUUACAUUGAGGUAUACCCAAUUUUUACACCUUUGAUUUUUGUGGCAACAUAGUUUUUCCUUUUAGUGUUUGUACACAAUGAUUCUUCUCACCUUUUGAUAUGGAAACUUGCUUAACCAAGAUGUUAAAUUAAUAAAUAAAAAAACCCUGUAACAAAUAGCAAGUUCAUUUUAGUGAUCAUUGACUUUUCAUAGUCAUCCAUUUUCAGUGAAUUUGAGUAAACAUGAAUGAUUUUAGGGUCAACAAUGGAUCGUUUAUACAGUCGGAUAAAAGAUCACUUGAAAACAUUUUUUCACAUUUUUACUCUAAAAGUUGCAU
rnacentral:lncRNA from 1 species